ensembl:lncRNA
AGUCCUCAGACUAUGGCUGCUGCCACUCAGCACCCAUUCCCUAGGCCAAUAUCCUGGCUUGUCCUGACCAUGAGCUGUGGGCUUCCCUGGUGGCUCAUAUGUGGGAAGAGAUUCUAUGUCAGCUCUGUCAUCAAUACUGAUGAAGCAGAAGGCUCUGAAAGUCCCUUUACUCUUCUAUGAGAGCAGGAGAAAAAAUACGGAGUCAACUGCUUUCCACUGAGAGCCCAGCCCUGAGAAUCAGGGGAUAAUAUUCUCUUCCAUCCAAAAUCUCUGUCUGACUUAAGCCCAGCGUUUCUCAUGAUGUGAAUGGGAUUAUAGUAACCUUAUAAGAAGAUGAAAGGACCAG